rnacentral:rRNA from 1 species
CUGCAGAUGGAUCAUUUCGAUGAAAACCUUUUUUUCUUGAGGUGUGGCUCGCACCUGUCUAACUAAACUUGAGCUACACAUUUCCACACGGUUGCAUCGGUUGGCUGUCCAACAGUGCGCGGACCUCGCGUCCGCUGCUGGAACGGGGCGGUCGACAUUUUACACCAAAACACUUUUUGAUGAUCUAGGAGCUGAACGAAAAAAAAAGUUUAUUUUUUAAAACUAAAAAACAACUUUUGGCAACGGAUCUCUUGGUUCUCCCAUCGAUGAAGAACGCAGCGAAUUGCGAUAAGUAAUGUGAAUUGCAGAAGUGAAUCAUCGAAUCUUUGAACGCACCUUGCGCUCCCUGCAGAUCUAAUCUGGGGAGCAUGCCUGUUUGAGGGCCGCGAAUUGUUUCGAACGACAACUUUCUUUUUGUGAGAGAGUUGGCGGAUCGGUAGUGAGGGUGUUGCCAGUGACCAUGGCUCCCUCGAAAUGCAUUAGCGCAUCCAUUUGAGAGGCAAAAGAGACGAAUGAACAAAAGCUCGCUUUUGGACGUCCGUCCUUUUUCCCUCCUGCCGGGUUUUGAUAACAUCAGGACUUCGGAGGUGGGGGAAGAGGUUCAUUUUUUUGCUGGUUGGAGUGCUUCUGAAACCCGCCCAUGCCCGCACACGCCGGGAAGGGAGCGAUGUAGAGUUCAUCUGCAUCCAAAUUCCAUCGGSCUCAGAUUGGUAGGACUACCCGCUGAACUUAAGCAUAUCAAUAAGCGGAGGAAAAGAAACUAACAAGGAUUCCCCUAGUAACGGCGAGUGAAGAGGGAAGAGCCCAAGAUUGAAAGCUGGCGUCUUCGGCGUCCGCAUUGUAAUCUCAAGAAGCGUUUUCCGCUUCGGACCAUGCCUAAGUCCCUUGGAAAAGGGCAUCAUAGAGGGUGAUAAUCCCGUACAUGGCAUGGAGCGCCCGAAGCUUUGUGAUACGCUUUCUAAGAGUCGAGUUGUUUGGGAAUGCAGCUCAAAAUGGGUGGUAAAUGCCAUCUAAGGCUAAAUAUUGGGGAGAGACCGAUAGCGAACAAGUACAGUGAUGGAAAGAUGAAAAGAACUUUGAAAAGAGAGUUAAACAGUACGUGAAAUUGCCAAAAGGGAAGGGUAGGAGGUCAGAGAUGCGGCCUGGGAUUCAGCCUUGCUUUUGCUUGGUGUUUUUCCCAGGUUGCAGGCCAACGUCGGUUUUGGGCACUGGAGAAGGGUAGGAGGAAUGUGGCACCUCUCGGGGUGUGUUAUAGCCUCCUACUGGAUACAGCGACCGAGACCGAGGACAGCAGCGUACUCGCAAGAGCGGGCCUUCGGGCACCUUUACGCUUAGGGCGUUGGCAUAAUGGCCCUCUACCACCC